UACGUAGGGCCCAAGCGUUGUCCGGAAUUAUUGGGCGUAAAGAGCUCGUAGGCGGCUUGUCACGUCGGGUGUGAAAGACCGGGGCUUAACCCCGGUUCUGCAUUCGAUACGGGCUAGCUAGAGUGUGGUAGGGGAGAUCGGAAUUCCUGGUGUAGCGGUGAAAUGCGCAGAUAUCAGGAGGAACACCGGUGGCGAAGGCGGAUCUCUGGGCCAUUACUGACGCUGAGGAGCGAAAGCGUGGGGAGCGAACAGG
rnacentral:rRNA from 1 species